GAUGAACGCUGGCGGCGUGCCUAAUACAUGCAAGUCGAGCGAACGGACGCGAAUCUUGCUUCUCUGAUGUUAGCGGCGCACGGGUGUGUAACACGUGGAUCCCCUCCCUAUAAGACUGGUAUAACUUCGGGAAACCGGCUCUAAUACCGGAUAAUCUUUUGCACCGCAUGGUUCAUUAGUGAAAUACGGUCUUGCUGUCACUUCUCGAUGGAUCUGCGCUGCAUUAGCUAGUUGUUACGGUAACGGCUUACCAAGGCAACGAUGCAUAGCCGACCUGAGAGAGGGAUAGGCCACACGGGAAGUGAGACACGGUCCAGACGACUAAGAGAGGCAGCAGUAGGGAACCUGCCGCAAUGGGCGAAAGCAUGACGGAGCAACGCCGAGUGAGAGAUGAAGGUCUUCGGAUCGUAAAAAUCUGUUAUUAGGGAAGAACAUAUGUGUAAGUAAAUGUGCACAGCGUGACGGUAACUAAUCAGAAAGCAACGGCUAACUACGUG
rnacentral:rRNA from 1 species